ACAUCCUUCACCAAUUGCUAAGAUGGUCAUCAAAUGGAGACAUCUACAAGUUGUUAGGAAACCUUUCCAAUCACAGCAGCUUUUAAUAGUGAAAUUUUAAUGGAAAAGUAAGGGUUGUUUAGGAUAACAAUGAAUAAUAUAGUCUCUUAUUUCAUGUCACCUCUUGUCAAUCCCAGCUAUUUAAGGCCCCAAGCAAAGGAGUAACCCCCCCACUUGGCCUCAAUUAGAGCCCGUUGGAUAGUAUAUAACAAAGCUAUCAGUUUCCUGAAUCCAUUGGAUAGCAUGUAACAAAGCUAUCAGUUUCUUGAAUCUGAUAGGUAUAGUGGUCUUUUUUCAAGAAUCCAUCCUUGGGUCUCGAACAGCUUGGGGGCUUGGAGAGAGGAAUUCCACAACCUCCUUCAAAAUUCCAACAGUUUGCCUGUGCAUAGCCAUGACCAAGUAUCGCACAGAUAAAGAAGUGUAAGCAAGCAGAGUGUUUUGGCUAAUGCCUGGUAGACCGGCAAGUCACAGAACGGCAACAGGCUCGGUUUAUGAGUCUUUUAUGGCUUAAUUUCUUGUUCUUUUCUCUUGUUUUAAUGUAGUUUCUUUCUUGCAUGAUAAUAAAAGUCUGUUUCAACAGAACCUCAGCCAGAGCUUGUGGUUGAGCUUUGUUUGUUUGCUAUUGUAAACUGAUCAUUUUCUCCAAUCCAGUAGACAAUAAUUUGAUCAUCUCUCUCUCUCUCUCUCUC
rnacentral:misc_RNA from 1 species